CUACCAGUUACUCCAGCUAGUCGCGUACGUACUACCGCCCGCCGCCGCUCGUUCACGCAGUGACCUUGCCGUGAGACGUGUGUAUCAGUGCGAUAUCACUCCCGUCGUAUACCGGCGAAUUGUGAAUUGAACGGCGUGUCGUUAAUUGGCCUAAAUGUAAUCGUGUGAUCAAUCUCGAUUUUAAUAUGGGAUAAACAAUUUGAAUCGAGUUCGACGUGCGUGGAUCGUGUACAUCGGUGACCUGUUGCCGGGCUGUUCCGGGCAGGCUGGACUCGAUGCGCUGCGAGCGAUCAGUGAUAUCCAAUGAGAGCUCAGUUUUCUUCGAAUUAAUCGUCAUAUUGAAAAUAGCGAAACGCUCGUCGUGCAUCGAGUCUAGCUGUGCCCGGGAUCAACAUAAUUCGGAGUCGCGAGAGUCCUCUCUUUUCUCUCUUUCUCAUCGCAGUCGUUCCACUGUACGUUGCGUAUGUCUCGCGAUUCUUUUACCUUUCUCGAGUUUGUUUUCCCGUCGUCGCGUGUCGCGAUAAAGGAUGUGUGACGACGACGCGUCGAAGCGAUCGAAUUAACCUCGAAAUAUUGUGUCAAGUGUCGCGCGAUCGUCAUUAAUUAUGUUUUCGCGAGUGAAUUUUGUGCAAGUGUGGAAUUCUAACCUGUAAGGAGGAGGCGGGCUGAGAGGCAUCGGGCAACGACGGAGCAACUUUGAGUUCGUGAUACACACAACUCUGCUGCUAUGCAUCAGUGUUGGUCUGUAUUUUCGUACGGUUGUUACAUGACUAACUAAGCAGACGGGAAAGUUCAUCAACGUCCAGUCAGAUCCAUUGUCUUCUGUAACGAACAGACCGUUACUGUUUCUUUAUUACAAAACAGGAUGGUGCAACACGUGAUGGCGAGCACCGGUUAGAAACUCCAGACGUAGGGAGCGCGCACAGGGACCAUGGCACAGGAUACAAGGAUACAGAUCCGAUUAGAUCCCGCUAAAAUUAUAAGUAUCUCUCUUCAUUACUGGAUUUUGCAGCCGCUGCAGUUCGUCGUAAAGAUGGAUGCAUGUCAAAUUUAGAGCUGCAAAUCCGCAAGAAAGAUCGCGCCCGAUCUCUGGAAUUCCAGUUGAAUGUCCAUUUAUGCACGCACAUGCACUCGCGCGCAAUUACUCUCGAACAUAAGCAGGCUGCUGAUAUACCCGGAAUAGAUCAAGACGAGUGGAGAUUGGGUACAUAUCACGGCAGGUAUGCCGCGAAUUCAAGGUGUGGCACUAGUCGCCUAUCUUCCCUCGUCUCUCACGAGGGAAAUUCACUCCUCCUCGCCGGCUUUCGUCGGCUGCCCACUCGAGUAGUAUUGUGAGGCAAUUAGAAUCGCAUGUAGAUUCAUCGAUGGCGCACGCCACUGUCUCCAUUCCUGACAUUCUCGUCGCUCUCUCCUCAGACCGACGCGAUCGAGUAGCUUUGAACAAAAUCUCAAGCGAACGGGAAAUUGAAUUUUCACACGCGCAAUGUGAGCUGUGAUUACGAUAAACUCUUCUUACAUAGGAAAAUAAUUAAAAAGAGAAAGAAAAAGAAUUUUUUUAUUAAGUUGCAAUUUGAGAUCGAAACAUACCUAACUGUUAUUGUUUUAAUAUGUUUCCUAUAUUAACUAUUCAUAUAUAGUUUUAUAUAUAUAUAAAUUUAAAGGGCAAAGAGAGGGGAAACCAAAGUUUGAGAUUUUUUCGUAAAUUUAACUUCCGUGAAUGAUAUAUGUCUUUUUGUCUAAUUAAAACUUUUUACUGUCAUAAGUUCUCAAAAAAUCUUGAAAAAAUUCAGGAUUUUCAACAUCUCUACUACAUUACCAAACACUUGUUUAAUUUAAAUGUUAAAAUCUUUAUUAAAUAAAAAUUGAAAUUUGAACAGAGUGACAUUAUGUAACACAUUGUGCAAAAAAAUCCAGAUUGCUUGACGGAGGGUUAAUUAUUAUUUAUAUUAAUGCUUUAUUCUGGUAUAAAAUGUGCAAUAUAUAUAUUGUCGAACACAUUAUUCAACAAUUUGACCUGGAUUACAUUUCUGCUCGAACAAAAAACAAGCGUGACAAGUUACUUAUAUGACGAGAAAUCGAGCGGAAGCUAAUGCGAAGUAGUUAAUUGCAUAAUAAAGGAAAAUCGGAAUUACCUCAUUCCGAGGACGGCGCGUGUAUCUUGAUAUGCACAUCGUCAUUUGCAUUCACUUAAGCACCAAUGCUUUUUGCACGUGGCAUUUGCGCGCACUAUCGACAAAGAGUACAAAGUCGUUUAUUACACAUUGAGUAGUACUGGAUAUUAAUUGGCAUGAUUCGAUGUGUCGACAGUUUUUUCUUGGUAUAAAAUGUUCCCGCGUUGCAUAUACUGCGCCGUUAUAAAAUGUACGACCCUCGGCGGUGCAGGUGCGAAAUAAAGAACACAGCACAAUAGCCGAAAAACGUGUGUAACAAGCAAGAGAGGAUGAUACGGGGGGCACGAAGGGAUGUUAGAAGACUUCAGGAAUAUGUCGCUCUCACGAUCAUGAAGCAAAUGUACAUUUCGCAUAAUGUAAUAGCAAUGAAUCACCAAUUUUACUCCGUUGAUGUACCGUUCAAUAUAAAACAUAAGAUCAUUUUGAUUAAUAUCACUAUAAAUAAAUUUAUAAUUUUCAACAUAGUUGUCGCAACUAAAAUAAUAAAGUAAAUAUUUUUUUUAAUGUUACUUGUAACAAAGUAAAGCUAUUCAUUUGAUAAAAUCUUAAAAAAACUGACCCCGCACUUUUACUACUUAAUAUUUUAUUUAUUGAUAAAACUUUUCUAAAAAUGUUUUAAAUAUUUGUCUGUGUAUUAUUAAUAGUAACCAUAAUAUUAUCGUUAUCAUUACCAGCAAAUUACGAUAUCUUAAUAUAUCUGUGAUUUUGUGCGAUCGAGUAAAAGAACCACACGCGGUUUGCAAUGACGUGGAAUUUAUUGGUUUCGCGGUAGAUCGAAAGUGAAAACGCAUAUUCAUAUAAUGGGUGCGCAGCGAGUGCAUUUUACAGAGACGCACAUGUCCACGUCCGGGAAAUCCUAUAACGAGGCUCGUAUUACGGCCCUUUCAUGUACUGCAUUCGUCGAUGGGUAUGAGUAUGUCUGUAUAUACAUCCAAGAGGAUAGUGUACGAAAGAUACAAACGAAAAAUGUGAAACGUCGAGAGAGAAAAAGCAGGACGUACUCGUAUUACAGGGAAGACCUCAUAUUACAGGACUCUCCACGAAUAAUCAACAUCGCGUAACACCAGAAACAAUUCUUACUAAGGUUAAGGAAUACGAUUAAAUUUUGUAAACACAUCAAAUUUGUAUUUAAAACACAGGACUGACAAAGCGAAAGAACGAAUUAAUUAAUUCGACUGAUUAAUUAAUAUAACAGUUAACAAAUCAUUUCCGUUAAUUUUAUUUAAAAGAAAUAUUAAAAUAAUCGGUUAAUUAAACGUGUUUUGUGAAGUAUUUUAAUUUUUUUGUCAUUCUUAUUAUUUAAUAAGAAUAUUUAUAUGUGAGUUAAAUAUUAUAAUAAAUAACAGUAUAUUAACAUAAUGAAAAAAGAACGCAAAAACUGUUAUAUAUGACGAAAAAAGUCAUCAAAGAGGCAUUCAAAGUUAAUAAAAUGUAUAUUAAUUCCUGGCAUUUUAUUAUGUCUUUAAUGACAUUUUAAAUCUAAUUGUAUAGUAGUGUAAUUAAUAAACGUUUAUUAUAAGUUAUUUUAACUUUAUUGCGCUAUGAUUCUUAAGGAUACUCUAUUCUGAUACUCAUAAUUUAGAUAAUGAUUUUAUAUUAAUCUUAUUAUUAUAUAAAUGUUUUUUAUAUUAUAAUAAUAUAAUAUAAUGGUUAUUUUAUAUAUAUAUAUAUAUACAAUUUGUCAAAUUAGUAACUUAAAAACAUUAAGAAUACAGCUAAUUUUCAUGUAAAAAAGAUGCAUGCGAAAAAGCGAGGCAAUGGCAAUAAUGCUCUUACGACGUCUGCUCUAAAAAAAAGCGAAAUAUGAAAUGGCAAAACGUAAAGGAGUUUUUUUUUAACAAAAAUAACUUUUAUUGUAAAAAUAUGUAAAUGUAAAUAUGUAAAUAUAAAGUUGUAUACACGUGCAUAUAGUAAAAUGUGAUUAUUCAUACAAUUUAAUGAAGCAAUAAUAGUGUCAUAAAAGAUUACAAAGAUAGAUUAGGUUAUUCCAAUAAAAAAAACACAGUAAACAACAUGACAUUGCUUUAUAUAAUAUUCACAUGUUUGCUUGUAUUUAAGUAUAUAAAUUAUAUUUGAUAAAUAUGAGUUUUUCAAAAAUUUGCUUAUGCAUAAUGAAGUACGCAGUGAACAAUUUGUUUAAAAUAUUGAAUGAAAUUAAUUUGAUUAUAUUUUCGCAAAUAUAAUUGCAGUAUUUACUAUACACAUAUAAUAUGUACCGUCGGUUACUUUUGAAAUGCGAUGUAAGAUUUCGGAGCGCGGUAACGAAGGCAUACGUACAUUGCCGUAGGGUAAGCAUUUCGUUUGUGCCGAAAAUAAACAUCCUGGCAGCCACUUCUUUUCACGACCCCUCCGACAAGGAAAUUCAUCUUGCUUUCUUGGGGUAAAUUCUCAGAACGUUAGAAUUUGCACAGGCUGUACUGCGAAAUAAGAUGGUAAUCUCUCUUUCAAAGAAUCGAAUUUGCUAAAAGGUUACUCUUUUUUUAGUAACAAUUUUUUCUUUGUAAAAUUGAUAAAAUACUAGGUUAAAUAAGUAUUCUUACAUAUGUAUUAUCAUUGAAAUUCAUGUUCCAUUUUUAUGAAAUAAUAAAAAUUUUACCAAA